GGGGAAUAUUGGACAAUGGGCGCAAGCCUGAUCCAGCCAUGCCGCGUGAGUGAUGAAGGCCUUAGGGUUGUAAAGCUCUUUUGGCGGGGACGAUAAUGACGGUACCCGCAGAAUAAGUCCGGGCUAACUUCGUGCCAGCAGCCGCGGUAAUACGAAGGGGACUAGCGUUGUUCGGAAUCACUGGGCGUAAAGCGCACGUAGGCGGAUAUGUCAGUCAGGGGUGAAAUCCCGGGGCUCAACCUCGGAACUGCCUUUGAUACAGCAUGUCUUGAGUCCGAUAGAGGUGGGUGGAAUUCCUAGUGUAGAGGUGAAAUUCGUAGAUAUUAGGAAGAACACCGGUGGCGAAGGCGGCCCACUGGAUCGGUACUGACGCUGAGGUGCGAAAGCGUGGGGAGCAAACA
rnacentral:rRNA from 1 species